rnacentral:lncRNA from 1 species
AUAGCUCAUGGUUGACGAAAAGAAUUUAAGAACGAAAGAAAUUGAAAUCUGGAAAGAAACUUGAAUUUUUGAAAAAGAAAUGAAUUUGGCAUGAAUUAUGUUGCAUAAUUGAAAUUGAUUUCGAAUUGAUGAACUCUAUAUGCUUUUUUUCUAUAAAUGAUUAUUUACUUAAAUGCCUGAUGAAAUCUGUUGAGAAGUGAUCAUUGCUUACUGGG